GCAGAAGGGCACCGAGUGGUGUUCACUCGGUGUUAAUGCACAGCUCAGGUCCUAAGUCCUG
rnacentral:ribozyme from 1 species